AUUGAACGCUGGCGGCAUGCCUUACACAUGCAAGUCGAACGGCAGCACGGGGCAACCUGGUGGCGAGUGGCGCACGGGUGAGUAAUGCAUCGGAACGUACCUUUCGGUGGGGGAUAACGUAGCGAAAGUUACGCUAAUACCGCAUAUUCUGUGCGCAGGAAAGCAGGGGAGCGCAAGACCUUGCGCUGAUUGAGCGGCCGAUGUCAGAUUAGCUAGUUGGUGAGGUAAGGGCACACCAAGGCGACGAUCUGUAGCGGGUCUGAGAGGAUGAUCCGCCACACUGGAACUGAGACACGGUCCAGACUCCUACGGGAGGCAGCAGUGGGGAAUUUUGGACAAUGGGGGCAACCCUGAUCCAGCCAUGCCGCGUGAGUGAAGAAGGCCUUCGGGUUGUAAAGCUCUUUCGGCCGGGAAGAAAUCGCACGGGCUAAUACCCUGUGUGGAUGACGGUACCGGAAUAAGAAGCACCGGCUAACUACGUGCCAGCAGCCGCGGUAAUAC
rnacentral:rRNA from 1 species